GAAUCUUAGACAAUGGGCGCAAGCCUGAUCUAGCCAUGCCGCGUGAGUGAUGAAGGCCUUAGGGUUGUAAAGCUCUUUUACCCGGGAUGAUAAUAACAGUACCGGGAGAAUAAGCCCCGGCUAACUCCGUGCCAGCAGCCGCGGUAAUACGGAGGGGGCUAGCGUUGUUCGGAAUUACUGGGCGUAAAGCGCGCGUAGGCGGCUUUGUAAGUCAGAGGUGAAAGCCUGGAGCUCAACUCCAGAACUGCCUUUGAAACUACAUCGCUUGAAUCAUGGAGAGGUUAGUGGAAUUCCGAGUGUAGAGGUGAAAUUCGUAGAUAUUCGGAAGAACACCAGUGGCGAAGGCGACUAACUGGACAUGUAUUGACGCUGAGGUGCGAAAGCGUGGGGAGCAAAC
rnacentral:rRNA from 1 species